rnacentral:rRNA from 1 species
UACGUAGGGUGCGAGCGUUGUCCGGAAUUAUUGGGCGUAAAGAGCUCGUAGGCGGUCUGUCGCGUCGAAUGUGAAAACCCGGGGCUCAACUCCGGGCUUGCAUUCGAUACGGGCAGGCUAGAGUUCGGUAGGGGAGUCUGGAAUUCCUGGUGUAGCGGUGAAAUGCGCAGAUAUCAGGAGGAACACCGGUGGCGAAGGCGGCUAUCUGGCCCAAUAUUGACGCUGAGAUGCGAAAGUGCGGGGAUCAAACAGG